rnacentral:tRNA from 1 species
GGAGGUAUAGCUCAGUGGUAGAGUGCAUGCUUAGCAUGCACAAGGUCCUGGAUUCAAUCCACAGUAUUGCCG